GACGAACGCUGGCGGCGUGCCUAACACAUGCAAGUCGAACGGGACCAGGGGCAACUCUGGUCCAGUGGCGGACGGGUGCGUAACACGUGAGGAACAUGACCUUCGGCGGGGGAGUAGCCGGCCCAACCGGCCGGGUAAGUACCGCGUACGACCACAUGGGGACGAUCCCUGAGUGGUGAAAGCAGCAAUGCGCCGAUGGAGUGCCUCGCGGCCUAUCAGCUAGUUGGUGAGGUAACGGCNCACCAAGGCGACGACGGGUAGCUGGUCUGAGAGGAUGGCCAGCCACAUUGGGACUGAGACACGGCCCAGACUCCUACGGGAGGCAGCAGUGUGGAAUAUUGCGCAAUGGACGAAAGUCU
rnacentral:rRNA from 1 species